rnacentral:rRNA from 1 species
GACGAACGCUGGCGGCGUGCCUAAUACAUGCAAGUCGAGCGGAUUUUUAGGAGCUUGCUCCUAAAAGUUAGCGGCGGACGGGUGAGUAACACGUGGGCAACCUGCCUAUAAGACUGGGGAUAACUUCGGGGAAACCGGAGCUAAUACCGGAUAAUUCAUAUCUACUCAUGUAGAUAUGCUGAAAGACGGUUUACGCUGUCACUUAUAGAUGGGCCC